ACCACAACCAUUUCACCAUA
rnacentral:snRNA from 1 species